UACGAAGGGGGCUAGCGUUGCUCGGAAUCACUGGGCGUAAAGGGUGCGUAGGCGGGGCUUUAAGUCAGGGGUGAAAUCCUGGAGCUCAACUCCAGAACUGCCUUUGAUACUGAAGAUCUUGAGUUCGGGAGAGGUGAGUGGAACUGCGAGUGUAGAGGUGAAAUUCGUAGAUAUUCGCAAGAACACCGGUGGCGAAGGCGGUCUGCUGGGCAGUUGCUGACGCUGAUGCGCGACAGCGUGGGGAGCAAACAGG
rnacentral:rRNA from 1 species